rnacentral:rRNA from 1 species
AUUGAACGCUGGCGGCAGGCCUAACACAUGCAAGUCGAGCGGAGCGGCGGACGGGGGAGUAAUGACUAGGAAUCUGCCUGUUAGUGGGGGAUAACGUCCGGAAACGGGCGCUAAUACCGCAUACGAUCACAUGAGCCUAGGUCGGAUUAGCUAGUUGGUGGGGUAAAGGCCUACCAAGGCGACGAACCGUAACUGGGCUGAGAGGAUGAUCAGUCACACUGGAACUGAGACACGGUCCAGACUCCUACGGGAGGCAGCAGUGGGGAAUAUUGGACAAUGGGCGAAAGCCUGAUCCAGCCAUGCCGCGUGUGUGAAGAAGGUCUUCGGAUUGUAAAGCACUUUCAGCGGGGAGGCGUUACCCGCAGAAGAAGCACCGGCUAACUUCGUGCCAGCCGCCGCGGUAAUAC